GAUGAACGCUGGCGGCGUGCCUAAUACAUGCAAGUCGAGCGAACGGACGAGAAGCUUGCUUCUCUGAUGUUAGAGGCGGAAGGGAGAGUAACACGUGGAUCACCUACCUAUAAGAAUGGGAUAACUUCGGGAAACCGUAGCUAAUACCGGAUAAUAUUUUGAACCGCAUGGUUCAAAAGUGAAAGACGGUCUUGCUGUCACUUAUAGAUGGAUCCGCGCUGCAUUAGCUAGUUGGUAAGGUAACGGCUUACCAAGGCAACGAUGCGUAGCCGACCUGAGAGGGUGAUCGGCCACACUGGGACUGAGACACGGUCCAGACUCCUACGGGAGGCAGCAGUAGGGAAUUUUCGGCAAUGGGCGAAAGCCUGACGGAGCAACGCCGCGUGAGUGAUGAAGGCCUUCGGAUCGUAAACUGCUGUUAUUAGGGACGAACAGAUGUCUAAGAAAACGGGAGCAUCUUGACGGUACCGAAUCAGAAAGCACCGGCUAACUACGUG
rnacentral:rRNA from 1 species